AUUUGAUUUGAAACCCUAAUAGAGUAAUACUUGGUUCAAAUUUUCAAUUGUGAAGAUUUAUUGGUUAUAACUUAUGGGCUUUAUGUGAUGAGAGGAUUCCUCCAUUGCUAUUGCCAGUUUCUCCCUCGCAAUCUCACAGUCAGCCGGCAUCCUUGCUUUGUGGUAAGUCUCUGGUACUUUGAAUGAGAAAGGGAGAGCCAAUCUGUAGUUUUGAUGUGCUUUCAGAAAAUGCAAUGGGACCUUUGUAGUUCUUCCGUCUCUCUCUGAUUGUUUGAUCAUAUAGGAAUUAUUGACUGAUUAAUUUAUGUAUGAAUGGGACCAAGGGAGAUGAUUUCAAAUAUCACCGAUCAGAUUUUUUUUUUUUUUGGGUUCGAUUUCAUUCAGUCAAAUUAGUUGAAGGGAGAUUGCUUGUUCUGGUUUGAAUUGAAUUUUAGGCAUAUAUAGCUUGUUUCUUAAUCUUGCUAUGGGUACAGGUCCAAGUUGAUGAAUUUAAUUAAUUAAGGCAUAUCAUAUAUACAGGUUUGUGAUCUCAACUAUUGAUUAUGGCUUCCCUUUGCGUGUUGUUUCUCUCAGUGCUUGGAGUUUUGUGCUAUUUUUCCCAGAUUUUGUUGAUUUAUUCAAUUACCAAAAAUUGUUAACUAGUUAUAAAGAGAUUUUGAUAGGAAGCUUGAAUUGCAUAUAAGAUGUAAUAUAUAAAGUCUCAAGAUCAUACGGUAAUUGGUAAAUGGUUAUUUUGAAUCGAUCAUGAGAAUCUUGGAGUGGUGAGUUUUCAGAAUAUAGACUUCCUGCAAUCAUGUUGUGAAGAGAGAGAGAUUUUUUAUUUUAUAUUAUUUUAUCAAUACAUGAAUAGAGUUUAAUGAAUAAUUGCUUGUUAUGAUUUAUAUGAUGUACAUGAACGCAGAGGGUCUUAUUUUGUUCUUGUUCAUGUCUAAAAUCAUAACUUUUAACAUGAGAGGUUCCUCGAGGGAAUCUGAACUUUUUGAAUUCAUGGACAUCCCCGUGCCAAGUGUUUGCUGAGGCAAGGCGGAUUGUGGUGUACCCAAAGGGGAGCAAUGGGAAGCAAUACUUGUCCAUGUACUUGAAUGUUGCAGAUGCUUCAAAGUUACCAUCUGGGUGGAGUAGAUAUGCCGAAUUCACCUUGACUGUCGUUAAUCAAUUUAACAGCGACAAGUCGAUAACAAUAGACACUCAGCAUCAGUUUAGUGCAAAAAAAAAGUGACUGGGGCUUCACAUCAUUCAUGCCUCUGAGUGAGCUUUUUGACCAGAAUGAAGGGUAUAUCAGCCAACUGGGGCUUACGAUUUUGUAUCCUUCUUGGAUUGCUUGCAACCAGUCAAGUCUCGGGACUAUGCAAAAGUCAAUUGCAGUAGCUCAUUAUCUACAACUUCAUAUUCUUAUAUUAUGGUUGGAUAUAGAGUGGGGGAUCUUCCACCGUCUUGUUAUAUGGUCACAGCCAGUCUUGCAAUGCUACAACAACCUUGGGGGCACCGCUCAUUUUCUCUCACUCGUCAGCAGCUGGAAAGGGGUUUUGAUCUUUCAUGGGGGAAAUAUAUCUGCGAAAAGCAUUGCCAGGCAAGUGAUGCUUUCUGUUCCUUCUCAAAUUACCGGUGGGAGUGCUAUGACAACUGCUAUUCACCAUUUACAACCAUCUAUUGUUAGGUGAAAGCUCAAUGCUAGCUAUCAGUUGACUGACAAGAAUAAAAGCUCAGUAGAGAAGGAAAGGACAUGGUAAUUGAAAUAGAAGCAUAUUGAAAGGAAACCAGAGGCAGUUAUAGUAUAACACUGAACUAGCCUAAAUUAUGCAUGCAGUUGCUUUGCCUAGCUACUCUUUGUUUACCUUAUAGGUUUUUGACUUAGUGCAAUAUUAGGUAAAUAAUCGAGAUCGAUAAGAUGGUUUUUUGGUUCUCUUGAUCAUUAUGUAACUGUUGGCUAGGUUUAGAGUUGGAACUAUGGAUUGUAUUUUGGAUGAUGUUGAUGCAAUGAAACGUAGCCAUCAUUUUCAAUGCAGAUUUUAGUCCAAUUUUAUGGUUUUGAUGAUUGUAAAUGAAUGAUGUUGAAAUGGUUGAAAGGCAACA